AUUGAACGCUGGCGGCAGGCCUAACACAUGCAAGUCGAACGGUAGCACAGAGAGCUUGCUCUCGGGUGACGAGUGGCGGACGGGUGAGUAACGUCUGGGAAACUGCCCGAUGGAGGGGGAUAACUACUGGAAACGGUAGCUAAUACCGCAUAACGUCGCAAGACCAAAGUGGGGGACCUUCGGGCCUCACACCAUCGGAUGUGCCCAGAUGGGAUUAGCUAGUAGGUGGGGUAAUGGCUCACCUAGGCGACGAUCCCUAGCUGGUCUGAGAGGAGGACCAGCCACACUGGAACUGAGACACGGUCCAGACUCCUACGGGAGGCAGCAGUGGGGAAUAUUGCACAAUGGGCGCAAGCCUGAUGCAGCCAUGCCGCGUGUAUGAAGAAGGCCUUCGGGUUGUAAAGUACUUUCAGCGGGGAGGAAGGCGGUGAAGUUAAUAGCUUCACCGAUUGACGUUACCCGCAGAAGAAGCGCCGGCUAACUCCGUGCCAGCAGCCGCGGUAA
rnacentral:rRNA from 1 species